AACAUGUAGCAUAUGAAUGCAAAUUACAUUUGGAUUAGUGAUUUGUUUGCCCCAUUAAUCCCUGUGCUACAUGUU